rnacentral:rRNA from 1 species
AUGUCACCUUUCCAAGCCCUGUAUGGUUUCCCUCCACCACUUAUAUCAGAACUGGCCAUUCCUGGUCCUGAUGACCCUGAAGCCCAAGACUUUCUGUCAGCAAAACAACAAAUGUUGCAACAGUUGAAGGUAAACUUGGUACUAGCUCAAAACAGAAUGAAGAAAUAUGCAGACACAAAAAGAGUUGAAAGAACUUUUCAAGUGGGAGAACCAGUCUAUCUUAAAAUGGCCCCUUAUAGACUGGCAGCAUUUGGAUUCAGAGGAGCACUGAAAUUGCAAAACAAGUUUUAUGGUCCAUUCCUGGUGAUUCAGAAGGUGGGAAAUUGUGCCUACAAAUUGCAACUGCCAAGUUCAGUGCAAAUACACCCAGUCUUCCAUGUAAGUCAGUUAAAAAGGCAUGUGGGGACAAAUCAAUUCCAGGACCUAAUCUACCAUUGGUAA